rnacentral:rRNA from 1 species
UUUGGUUAAGUUAGAAAGGGCGCACGGUGGAUGCCUUGACACUAGGAGUCGAUGAAGGACGGGACUAACGCCGAUAUGCUUCGGGGAGCUGUAAGUAAGCUUUGAUCCGAAGAUUUCCGAAUGGGGAAACCCACCAUACGUAAUGGUAUGGUAUCCUUAUCUGAAUACAUAGGGUAAGGAAGACAGACCCAGGGAACUGAAACAUCUAAGUACCUGGAGGAAGAGAAAGCAAAUGCGAUUUCCUGAGUAGCGGCGAGCGAAACGGAACAUAGCCCAAACCAAGAGGCUUGCCUCUUGGGGUUGUAGGACAUUCUAUACGGAGUUACAAAGGAACGAGGUAGACGAAGCGACCUGGAAAGGUCCGUCGUAGAGGGUAACAACCCCGUAGUCGAAACUUCGUUCUCUCUUGAAUGUAUCCUGAGUACGGCGGAACACGUGAAAUUCCGUCGGAAUCUGGGAGGACCAUCUCCCAAGGCUAAAUACUCCCUAGUGAUCGAUAGUGAACCAGUACCGUGAGGGAAAGGUGAAAAGCACCCCGGAAGGGGAGUGAAAGAGAUCCUGAAACCGUGUGCCUACAAAUAGUCAGAGCCCGUUAAUGGGUGAUGGCGUGCCUUUUGUAGAAUGAACCGGCGAGUUACGAUCCCGUGCGAGGUUAAGCUGAAGAGGCGGAGCCGCAGCGAAAGCGAGUCUGAAUAGGGCGUUUAGUACGUGGUCGUAGACCCGAAACCAGGUGAUCUACCCAUGUCCAGGGUGAAGUUCAGGUAACACUGAAUGGAGGCCCGAACCCACGCACGUUGAAAAGUGCGGGGAUGAGGUGUGGGUAGCGGAGAAAUUCCAAUCGAACCUGGAGAUAGCUGGUUCUCCCCGAAAUAGCUUUAGGGCUAGCCUUAAGUGUAAGAGUCUUGGAGGUAGAGCACUGAUUGGACUAGGGGUCCUCAUCGGAUUACCGAAUUCAGUCAAACUCCGAAUGCCAAUGACUUAUCCUUAGGAGUCAGACUGCGAGUGAUAAGAUCCGUAGUCAAAAGGGAAACAGCCCAGACCGCCAGCUAAGGUCCCAAAGUGUGUAUUAAGUGGAAAAGGAUGUGGAGUUGCUUAGACAACUAGGAUGUUGGCUUAGAAGCAGCCACCAUUUAAAGAGUGCGUAAUAGCUCACUAGUCGAGUGACUCUGCGCCGAAAAUGUACCGGGGCUAAAUACACCACCGAAGCUGCGGAUUGAUACCAAUGGUAUCAGUGGUAGGGGAGCGUUCUAAGGACAGUGAAGUCAGACCGGAAGGACUGGUGGAGUGCUUAGAAGUGAGAAUGCCGGUAUGAGUAGCGAAAGACGGGUGAGAAUCCCGUCCACCGAAUGCCUAAGGUUUCCUGAGGAAGGCUCGUCCGCUCAGGGUUAGUCAGGACCUAAGCCGAGGCCGACAGGCGUAGGCGAUGGACAACAGGUUGAUAUUCCUGUACCACCUCUUUAUCGUUUGAGCAAUGGAGGGACGCAGAAGGAUAGAAGAAGCGUGCGAUUGGUUGUGCACGUCCAAGCAGUUAGGCUGAUAAGUAGGCAAAUCCGCUUAUCGUGAAGGCUGAGCUGUGAUGGGGAAGCUCCUUAUGGAGCGAAGUCUUUGAUUCCCCGCUGCCAAGAAAAGCUUCUAGCGAGAUAAAAGGUGCCUGUACCGCAAACCGACACAGGUAGGCGAGGAGAGAAUCCUAAGGUGUGCGAGAGAACUCUGGUUAAGGAACUCGGCAAAAUGACCCCGUAACUUCGGGAGAAGGGGUGCUUUCUUAACGGAAAGCCGCAGUGAAUAGGCCCAAGCGACUGUUUAGCAAAAACACAGCUCUCUGCGAAGCCGUAAGGCGAAGUAUAGGGGGUGACACCUGCCCGGUGCUGGAAGGUUAAGGAGAGGGGUUAGCGUAAGCGAAGCUCUGAACUGAAGCCCCAGUAAACGGCGGCCGUAACUAUAACGGUCCUAAGGUAGCGAAAUUCCUUGUCGGGUAAGUUCCGACCCGCACGAAAGGUGUAACGAUUUGGGCACUGUCUCAACCAGAGACUCGGUGAAAUUAUAGUACCUGUGAAGAUGCAGGUUACCCGCGACAGGACGGAAAGACCCCGUGGAGCUUUACUGUAGCCUGAUAUUGAAUUUUGGUACAGUUUGUACAGGAUAGGCGGGAGCCUUUGAAACCGGAGCGCUAGCUUCGGUGGAGGCGCUGGUGGGAUACCGCCCUGACUGUAUUGAAAUUCUAACCUACGGGUCUUAUCGACCCGGGAGACAGUGUCAGGUGGGCAGUUUGACUGGGGCGGUCGCCUCCUAAAGUGUAACGGAGGCGCCCAAAGGUUCCCUCAGAAUGGUUGGAAAUCAUUCGUAGAGUGCAAAGGCAUAAGGGAGCUUGACUGCGAGACCUACAAGUCGAGCAGGGACGAAAGUCGGGCUUAGUGAUCCGGUGGUUCCGCAUGGAAGGGCCAUCGCUCAACGGAUAAAAGCUACCCCGGGGAUAACAGGCUUAUCUCCCCCAAGAGUCCACAUCGACGGGGAGGUUUGGCACCUCGAUGUCGGCUCAUCGCAUCCUGGGGCUGUAGUCGGUCCCAAGGGUUGGGCUGUUCGCCCAUUAAAGCGGUACGCGAGCUGGGUUCAGAACGUCGUGAGACAGUUCGGUCCCUAUCCGUCGUGGGCGUAGGAAAUUUGAGAGGAGCUGUCCUUAGUACGAGAGGACCGGGAUGGACGCACCGCUGGUGUACCAGUUGUUCUGCCAAGGGCAUAGCUGGGUAGCUAUGUGCGGAAGGGAUAAGUGCUGAAAGCAUCUAAGCAUGAAGCCCCCUCAAGAUGAGAUUUCCCAUAGCGUAAGCUAGUAAGAUCCCUGAAAGAUGAUCAGGUUGAUAGGUUCGAGGUGGAAGCAUGGUGACAUGUGGAGCUGACGAAUACUAAUAGAUCGAGGACUUAACCAUAUAA